rfam:Tupaia chinensis contig210046, whole genome shotgun sequence.
UUGACUAAACUAAUAUAGUGCAUUCAUGAUGGGAAAAAAAAUAUUAACAUCUUCAGGAAAAAUGUUUUUAAAAAUAUCCACAAGGAGAAGGCGCAGCGUUCUCUCCUGAGCGUGAAGCCGGCUCUUCGUGUCGCUUUACUGCGACUGCCUUUUGCCAUUGAUGAUCGUAAAAAAAAAAAGAAAAAGAAAAAGAAAAAUCUGCAUGGA